GAUCAAGUUCAAUUAGUUUAUUGGAUAAGCCAAGUGCAAGGAAAAAUUAGUCCUAGUUCAAUUAGGACUUGGGUCAACCUAAUUUCUAAUUUAAUUAAAAAAUUAAAUCAAAUUUAAAUCUAAUUUAAUCUGAUUAAAUUAGGUUUUUAAUUAAGUUAACACUUAUUUUAAUUGAGUUGAUUUGAUUUUAGUUUGAUUUGANN
rnacentral:lncRNA from 1 species